GACGAACGCUGGCGGCGUGCUUAACACAUGCAAGUCGAACGGAAAGGCCCUGCUUUUGUGGGGUGCUCGAGUGGCGAACGGGUGAGUAACAAGUGAGUAACCUGCCCUUAACUUUGGGAUAACUUCAGGAAACUGGGGCUAAUACCGGAUAGGAGCUCCUGCUGCAUGGUGGGGGUUGGAAAGUUUCGGCGGUUGGGGAUGGACUCGCGGCUUAUCAGCUUGUUGGUGGGGUAGUGGCUUACCAAGGCUUUGACGGGUAGCCGGCCUGAGAGGGUGACCGGCCACAUUGGGACUGAGAUACGGCCCAGACUCCUACGGGAGGCAGCAGUGGGGAAUAUUGCACAAUGGGCGGAAGCCUGAUGCAGCAACGCCGCGUGCGGGAUGACGGCCUUCGGGUUGUAAACCGCUUUCGCCUGUGACGAAGCGUGAGUGACGGUAAUGGGUAAAGAAGCACCGGCUAACUACGUG
rnacentral:rRNA from 1 species